CCGUGUGCAGUGUAAGUACAAACUAAUAAUUACAGCUCGGGAAGUUUGAGUUAAUAUCUAAAUUAAAAUUGUCCACAGUUUCAUUUCGCUCCGGGGGAUGUUUACUUUGCUUCUAGCAAGGGGAAAAUCAUAAAGCGGCGAAUGGCAAUUCCAGUGUACGAAUUUGUUCCGCAGAUUGCCGACUUCGCUCUCGAGAACGAUGAUAUACCGGAUUUGAACUCUACCCUCGAAACAUCUGACACAACACUGAAUUCAAAUGCAUUCUCCCAAAAUAUGGUUCCAAUUUUUUGCUCCCCAUAUGAUGAACAUAAAGCUGUAUGCGCAAGCACAAAAAGGAAAUACGAUGGCUACGUAGAUAACCUGAACCAGGAAGUGAGAGAUUUGAAGAAACGUUGUCAUCACCUUGAGAACGUAGUGAAGCAACAGGAGCACGUCAUGCAAAAACAACAAAAGACCUCAGAUCUAGCUCUCAAUGCACUCAACAGAACAUUUAACUCCGACCAAGUGGACAUGCUGUUGUACGAGAAAAAGCGUCCAAAGCAGUGGAGUGACAAAACAGUCACUGAAAGUCUGCAAACAAAAUUUGUUUGCGGAUCGAAAGGAUACGAGCACCAGAGAACUAAAUAUCCCCUCUCCAACGAAGAGUAGAGGACUUGGAAUUCAAGCCAGGUAUUCUGUACGACGUACUAGAGCUCCUCAAACUCAAAGUGAACACCAUGUUGCCCGAAGAUCUUGACUGCGGCCUAAUUUUUGAUGAGAUGUCCAUCGAAGAGGCAAGAAGUUUUUGCAUUU